rnacentral:rRNA from 1 species
AACGAACGCUGGCGGCAUGCCUAACACAUGCAAGUCGAACGGGAUCCUAGCUUGCUAGGUGAGAGUGGCGGACGGGUGAGUAACACGUGGGAAUCUGCCUUUUGGUUCGGGAUAACCGCGGGAAACUGCGGCUAAUACCGAAUGCCCUCGAGAGAGGAAAGAUUUAUCGCCAGAAGAGGAGCCCGCGUCCGAUUAGGUAGUUGGUGGGGUAAAGGCCUACCAAGCCGACGAUCGGUAGCUGGUCUGAGAGGAUGAUCAGCCACACUGGGACUGAGAUACGGCCCAGACUCCUACGGGAGGCAGCAGUGGGGAAUAUUGGACAAUGGGGGCAACCCUGAUCCAGCAAUGCCGCGUGAGUGAUGAAGGCCUUAGGGUUGUAAAGCUCUUUUGCCAGGGAAGAUGAUGACUGUACCUGGAGAAUAAGCCCCGGCUAACUUCGUGCCAGCAGCC